AUCGUUUUAAACACUAUGCUAUUACUUAGGUAAAUUUUAAUAUAAGGAUCUCUUUAAAGCACCAAGGAACUUUCUAUUUAAAGGGUCCCGUGGCGAAUCAUUCCGUACUGCACAUUAGUGUCUGUGUCAGUCUAGAUUUCCAGUCCUGGCUCUGGCUGUGUGGCUAGGUUAGCAGUAUGGUGUUGCACAAGUCACUUCACCUCUGCUUGUUCAGCAGUGAAGCAGGAGCGGCAGUUUGGAUAGUGCUGGAAUGUUGCUAAGCUGCGCCAGAAUCCUCUCCAACCUUGAGAUUCCGCUUGGGUGGCUCCAAAGCAGGCCUCCUGCCACAUUUGGGAACUUUCCAGAGCAGCCCAACUGCAAUGGGCCUGAGAGAAGGAAUCCUUGUCCUUUGCUGGUCCCUCAGCCCCUGGAAUGACAUUCCCAGGACAAGGAGCAUAAGGGCCUGAAGCGCCAGACAGGCCAGGAAGUGCCAGGAGACUGUUCUUGAGCACCUCACUCUACUGCUGCUAACAACUAAUUUCCCACAGUAAAUCCCUGCUGAGAACUACGGUCACAGGCCCUACUAAGUGCUGGGCUGAAGAAUGGUCCUCACCCUCAAGCAGGAAGCAUUUAGUUCACAGGCUGGAAAGCCAGGCCUCCCCAACUGGAGAGCUUGUGAAACACUGGACUGACUUGGGUGAGGCCAGGGCAGCCUUGCCCAGCUCCAGCCCCACUCAGAACUACACCUGAGUGUGGGCACUGGAACUGAGACCAAGCUGGAGGCCAGGCAGGAACUGUAGCCUGAGAUUUUUGUGGCUAGAAAGGACCUACCUAAUUGAGGUGCAGGGAAGUGAACGACCUGCCUGAGACUACCCGGCUAGAUAGUGGCAGAGCUGUUGAGGACCGAGCCUUAGGGCUCCUUUUUCUACAAGUCCUGGGCUAUUUUCUCUUGGCUGCCUCCUCAGGAGGCUGAGGAAAGCUCCUCCCACUCCCAGAGGAAAUAGGUUUGUGCCUAUCUGGACAGAACACAGGUUACACUUAAAAAAGGAGGGUUGUGCAUGCUUUGAGUUCCAGCACCCACAAUUCAGAACCCAGGUGGUGGUGACUAGUCUAUACCUGCUUGACUCUGGAAUUCUUGGAUUCUCACAGCCACUGGUUCCCUUGACUCAGUCACACACCUUUACCAGCCCUACUGAAUGGGAUUUAGGAACUGCAUUGCACUAGGAAGUCAGCGCCUACUUGCUGAACUCAGCUGCUUCUCUGCUCAUUGAGUACCUGGACAAAUCCUCCUUAUCCUUACGAAUCUACCUGCCCACUGAAGACGGGGGAUACACUCCCUUCCCUGAGAGGACCUGAGUCCUAAGUGUCUUUUUGCCCUUACCAACUGAAAAGAAUUGAAGAUGUUUAUAAAGAGGAACCAUCAGACUCUCACAAGCAUUUACCAUCACUAAGUAAGUUCCCAAGAGGAACAGAGUGACCCAUUUGGCUGGGCAAAGCAAGUGUGAACAUCUUGAGAAAUUUGAGCUCCUCAUGCCCUUUCAGUCCUGCUCAGGUUCCAAGUUAGCGUUCUUUUCUGGUCUCCUUCCCUGGACUCAAGUUCUCGACAACUGGGGGCAGAGGGUUUGAAGAACGCUGCUGACCUGAUUCCUGCCCCUUCCAGGCCUGUGUAGGGUUAUCUGGACUCCUUCCUGCUCUGUAGAAGUAUUCCCUCCCAGUUAGUCCAGGGGACAAACUAUGCCUAAGGGGCAAGAAAUUCCUCAGCCACUUACGAGAUAUGCCUGACAUGCCCCUUGAAGAGUAGAGACACAGUAAAUGCAAGGGAGUGCGCCAGUUGCUUACAGUGUCGUGUCCUGAGUCCAGCGCAGCCCAGCCCAGCCAAGUGCUGCUGGCUUGCAUUUGCCAGUGCUCGGACAGUCCCACUAUCCGGGAUUGAACUCUGGGUUAAGAAGGCCACAUGUGGAGACAGGAGAGAAGAGGGCGCUGCUGUCGGAAUCUGGAUGUCUCCCUCCGCCACUCAUCAUCGAAUGCUGCAGCCUCACCUGAAGAGAACACAAACAGCAGGUCUCAGAUAUGUUUCAGCACCAUUACCUGCAUCCUGCGGCUGGCAGGCCUGGUCCCUGGCAUGUUGCCAUCUGUGAUGCUGAGGAAGGGGCUAUAUCCAAAGCCACCUGACAACAUACGGCUCAUUUGCUGUCGGUGAAUAGCAAAUGGGUCCCUGUGGAGUGAGCAUACAGUAUGGAUGGCAGAAGGGCCAAGCUCCUGAUCCCCAUCCCGGAAAAAUAAAAACAGCAACAGUGGUA